GGAGCGAUGUCCGAGUGGUCGAUGGUGGCAGUCUUGAAAACUGCUGCGCCGCAAGGCGCCGGGGGUUCGAAUCCCCCUUGCUCCG
rnacentral:tRNA from 1 species